ensembl:lncRNA
GUGGUGGGAUCCUGGAGACUGACUUUCUACUCCGGAACACCAGGAGGGCGGCAAGUCCUCUUCAGACCUGGUCCUCAGCGGGGACUGUGCUCACAGUGACAGCCAGGCUGAGGCACAGAGCCCAGGGGCAGCCCCUCUUCUGUCUGCACCCCCUCACGCUCCUGGGCUGGUGCACCCUGGCCUCACACUUGGAGCCUAUCGCCCCCUGGUGGGCACAAGGUGCUGAGGGGCAGGACUGCCUACCCCAGGGAGCAUGGACCAGGGGCAGGCAGAGGGUGCUGUGAGGGGCCCAGGCCAGGGCAGCAGGCUGUGGAGCUGCACGGAAGGCUGUCUUCAGGGAGGCUGUGGUCCAGAGCUCGGGAAGGCAGCAGGGCUGAGGGACCGUGUCCCUAGUGGUGGUGCUGGAGGAGCCAUGGUGGACGACCCCUCUUCCCCAGGCCUCCCCAUUGCUCCAGAGAGGGAGGGAGGGACCAUCUGCUCCCCCAGUGACUGCACUGGGGAAGCAGAGCCUCCCUGUUCGCUCCUGAGCUUGGGGGCCAACACUGCCCCAGCAUCGCUCAAUCACUUUGACAAACCCGCUGCAGGCUUCCCAGAGCCAGGUGUGGAGGCUUCACCCUGGCUGGGAUCCAACCUUCUGCUCAGGGUCUGCACUGGGAUGAGCCAGUCCCCUUCCUGGGCUCUGUAGCCACAGAGCUGCCCCUUCCUGGCCUCUGUAGCCACAGAGCUGGUGACCGUGGCCUGGAGGGUGAGUUAGGGUUGCUAUCAGCUCUCAAGCACAGGCCUGCUCUCUCAGGAGCUGGGCCUCGCACUCUCUGGAGCCCUGGAUGGGGGCUGACCAGGAAGGGGACGGGGCUGACAAACCAGAAGCAGGGACUGGCGUGCCCUGGGCAGAAGACUGUGCGCACAGCAUGCUCCUGCAGUCAGACACAUGCGCAUGGCACAAGCACAGCUGCACACCCUUCCCACGGGCACCCUGUUCCCAUACCUUCAAGCCUAGGAUGUCAUAAUGGAACCAUCAGGAAGAAAUGUGAGAGGAGGGGCAGGGGGAGAACACAGACCUCGUUUGCUCCCAGGUAGCAGGCGGCCAGUAGCACGUGUUUAAAGGUCCAUGAAACCUGAGUCCUCACGGUCUAAUCACCUUAGAUGAUGCCCAUCUCCCAGCACUGCUGCACUGGGUCCCAAGUCUCCAACCCAUGUUUUGGGGAGGCACAGUCAAUCCAUAGCAGCAGAAGCGUGGGGCCGGAAGGACCCGUUUUGCAGCUGAAGUCUUCGAGAAGGGCAGAGCUGGUGACAAGAGAGGGGACCCCUAGGACAGCAGCCUGAGGCCCCGAUCUCGGUUGCUCCUCAAGCUCCAGGAUCUGAGGUGGCUGCAUCCCAACAGCCUGAGGGGGAAGUGGAUGGACCAGCAUCGGUCCCAGCCUCGGGGACUCUCUGUAACGCGCGAACUCAGGCAGUCCAGGACGAGCCCCCUGUGUGUCCCGGGCAGAGGACUUAUGGGACUGAUCCGUCUUGAAAGCCCUUUUCUUCCCUGCCUCUGUCUCCAAAACAACUCUGGCUGGAACCUGGGGACCUUGUGCCCUCUGACGUGUGACAGUCACCCCGUGGAAAUCCCCAGAAUCCCGGCCUUCCCCUUUGCGUCCCCAUG